GGUCUUAUAUUCAAAAUUAAUGAUAUAAAAUUGCAAAUUUUAAGGUAUAAAAAAUUAUUAAGGCUU
rnacentral:tRNA from 2 species